UGCGCAGGCGGUUUUGUAAGACAGUGGUGAAAUCCCCGGGCUCAACCUGGGAACUGCCAUUGUGACUGCAAGGCUGGAGUGCGGCAGAGGGGGGAUGGAAUUCCGCGUGUAGCAGUGAAAUGCGUAGAUAUGCGGAGGAACACCGAUGGCGAAGGCAAUCCCCUGGGCCUGCACUGACGCUCAUGCACGAAAGGCGUGGGGAGCAAACA
rnacentral:rRNA from 1 species